CCUACGGGAGGCUGCAGUGAGGAAUCUUCCACAAUGGGCGAAAGCCUGAUGGAGCAACGCCGCGUGAAGGAUGAAGGCCUUCGGGUUGUAAACUUCUUUUAUGAGUGAAGAAUAUGACGGUAACUCAUGAAUAAGCACCGGCUAACUACGUGCCAGCAGCCGCGGUCAUACGUAGGGUGCAAGCAUUAUCCGGAGUGACUGGGCGUAAAGAGUUGCGUAGGCGGUUUAAUAAGUGAAUAGUGAAACCUGGUGGCUCAACCAUACAGACUAUUAUUCAAACUGUUAAACUCGAGAAUGGUAGAGGUAACUGGAAUUUCUAGUGUAGGAGUGAAAUCCGUAGAUAUUAGGAGGAACACCGGUGGCGAAGGCGGCCUGCUGGACGAAAACUGACGUUGAGGCUCGAAGGCGUGGGGAGCAAACAGGAUUAGAUACCCCUGUAGUCC
rnacentral:rRNA from 1 species